AAAGAAUUUGGUGCAGACUGUAAGCAUGUAUUUGCUAUAUUUUUUUAAGUUGGCAUUCUUUCUCCAUACCUGAUAACUUGAUGAGAAUGAUCUGUCAGAAGAUGGUGGUUUUGAGAAUUAUGUUCCGCAAGUCAUUCAGAAUUUAUUUUUUAUUUGCAGUCUGGUUCUGCGUUAUUUGGUUUAAUUCAAAUUUAUGAAUCAUGGAUAUUAUAUAAUACAGUGAGCCCCAACAAGUCUUUAAUAAAAGAUUUUAACUUUUAAUGUUCAGUUUUUAAGAUUUCUGACAAAUGUUGUGCCCAGUAUUAUUUAUCAAUACUCUGUAUCUGUAACAACUUUACCUGACCAUAUAGGAAAAUAGGUAUUUAGUCGGAUCUUAACACGUACUUGUGAUUUGGUUAAAACAGGUUUUGUUCAAAAUAUACGAAGAAAUGUCGAAAUGUUCAGGAC
rnacentral:lncRNA from 1 species